GGAUGUGAAGAUUUAGCAGCUGUUUUUACCAUGAGGCAGGAGUUUGAGGCCCUGACUGCAGAACCGCCAAACUCACUCGGACCUGUCGAGUCCAUACCUCUCCCCCAUUGACAGGCUAUAGGAAGGAAGGAAAUAAACACUGAAUUUCAGGAAAAUCAUUUUGUGCCAGGAGACAUGCCCCUGGGGCCCACCGUGAUGUAUCUGAAGAGCUUCUGGGAAAGGUGUGGACAAAUGAAGGAUUCAGCCCAUCAGCCCAGCCUGUCUAGAGCCAUCUGGAUCCUGUCGCUGUUUUGCAAUCUGCCCAUCAUUUUUAUUUUCAUUUUUAAUCAACUACAAAUUUGAAAUGACAUUGCUUGCCUCUGGAUCACUGUGACAAUGGAAGUGCUCAGCACCUGGUACCUAACAGGCUCCCCCUUCUCAUCUGCCAUCAGUCUCAAGCAGGGAGCCCACUCCCGGACCUGCUGGAAGAGGACAGAGGCCAGGCGGUGCCAGCAGAAUGCCGCAGGAGCUCAGAGGCAGAGGAGGCAGCCGCCCACUGCCUGUCCUGUUUCUAGACUCUGGAUUCCCGCACAGGACCCUCCCCAGCUGGUCCUUUCUUUCCCAUGGAUGGGGCUGGGGGCAGCGAGUGAGUGUGCCCAUCUGAUGGCGGGCUGCAGAAGAUGGCAGCGACAGGGCUGAGGGGCUUCCAGAAGCACAGGUGUGGGGCCUGGCAGAGGAGGCCCAGCUGGUUGCUAUGGAGAGAGAAAUGUUAUGCAGUUAACUUGGUUGACUGGCGGCCUUGAGAAAUACCCAUGUCCCUCCGGGGCCUCAGAGCCAUCCAUCACUCCAGAAAGGCUCUUUUCAU